GACGAACCACACGAACGUUAUUCGGAAUUACUGGGCUUAAAGGGUGCGUAGGCGGCGCGGUAAGUAGGGUGUGAAAUCCCUCGGCUCAACCGAGGAACUGCGCUCUAAACUACCGUGCUUGAGGGAGGUAGAGGUGAGCGGAACUUAGGGUGGAGCGGUGAAAUGCGUUGAUAUCCUAAGGAACACCGGUGGCGAAAGCG
rnacentral:rRNA from 1 species